GGGAUGGGUGGGGUGUGGGAGUGGCGGACGGGUGAGUAACACGUGAGUAACCUGCCCUGGGCGUGGGGAUAACCCUGGGAAACUGGGGCUAAUACCGGAUGUGCUGCAUGCCUCGCAUGGGGUGUGUGGGAAAGGUUCACCCUUGUGAGGGGGUGUUCCGGCCUGGGUGGGGCUCGCGGCCCAUCAGCUUGUUGGUGCGGUGAGGGCGUACCAAGGCGAUGACGGGUAGCCGGCCUGAGAGGGUGAUCGGCCACACUGGGACUGAGACACGGCCCAGACUCCUACGGGAGGCAGCAGUGGGGAAUUUUGCGCAAUGGGCGGAAGCCUGACGCAGCGACGCCGUGUGGGGGAGGACGGCCUUCGGGUUGUAAACCCCUUUCGGCCCUGACGAAUGUGACGGUAGGGGCUAAAGAAGCGCCGGCUAACUACGUGCCAGCAGCCGCGGUAAUACGUAGGGCGCGAGCGUUGUCCGGAUUUACUGGGCGUAAAGGGCUCGUAGGCGGUUUGUCGCGUCGGUCGUGGAAAUGCGCAGCUUAACUGGGCACGUGCGGCCGAUACGGGCAGACUCGAGGGCGGUAGGGGCAAGCGGAAUUCCUGGUGUAGCGGUGAAAUGCGCAGAUAUCAGGAGGAACACCGAUGGCGAAGGCAGCUUGCUGGGCCGUUCCUGACGCUGAGGAGCGAAAGCGUGGGUAGCGAACAGGAUUAGAUACCCUGGUAGUCCAUGCUGUAAACGUUGGGCGCUAGGUGUGGGGACCGUUGUGGUGUCCGUGCCGUAGCUAACGCAUUAAGCGCCCCGCCUGGGGAGUACGGCCGCAAGGCUAAAACUCAAAGGAAUUGAAGGGGGCCCGCACAAGCGGCGGAGCAUGUG
rnacentral:rRNA from 1 species